UUACCGGCUUCCGCUGCUAAACUUUUAUUCUUUCAAGUGAAUUUUCACCACUUUCUGGUCUUCAUCCUGCUUGACAAAAUGCCUAGCUGAAUGAAUCCAUAUCUAGGACUAGGAAAGAAGCAGGAUGAAGGAGAGCUUGCAACCAUUCCUUGUAAAUCAUCUGAUUUGAAUAUACAAGAAGCUGAGAUUGAUAGACACAUUAAACUUCAGGCAAGAA